UGACUAGCUGCCAUCUUCUGGGCGAUAUCACGAGAUGCCACAUGCCGAUCUAACUCGAUGUUUUCCAUGAUUUGAUCGGUAUUCGUCGUCACAGGUCUUCCGCCGGCUGGCUUAUCCAUUGUGUCGUUUUCACCCGCUCUGAAUCGUCGAAACCAUUCCUCCGCAGUUCGAAGUGAUAGAGUACCAUCCCCCAAAACACCAUUAAUCUCACGAAACGUUUCUCUAGCG